GGAAACCGAGUCUUAACCGGGCGUUAAGUUGCAGGGUAUAGACCCGAAACCCGGUGAUCUAGCCAUGGGCAGGUUGAAGGUUGGGUAACACUAACUGGAGGACCGAACCGACUAAUGUUGAAAAAUUAGCGGAUGACCUGUGGCUGGGGGUGAAAGGCCAAUCAAACCGGGAGAUAGCUGGUUCUCCCCGAAAGCUAUUUAGGUAGCGCCUCGUGAAUUCAUCUCCGGGGGUAGAGCACUGUUUCGGCUAGGGGGCCAUCCCGGCUUACCAACCCGAUGCAAACUGCGAAUACCGGAGAAUGUUAUCACGGGAGACACACGGCGGGUGCUAACGUCCGUCGUGAAGAGGGAAACAACCCAGACCGCCAGCUAAGGUCCCAAAGUCAUGGUUAAGUGGGAAACGAUGUGGGAAGGCCCAGACAGCCAGGAUGUUGGCUUAGAAGCAGCCAUCAUUUAAAGAAAGCGUAAUAGCUCACUGGUCGAGUCGGCCUGCGCGGAAGAUGUAACGGGGCUAAACCAUGCACCGAAGCUGCGGCAGCGACACUGUGUGUUGUUGGGUAGGGGAGCGUUCUGUAAG
rnacentral:rRNA from 1 species